rnacentral:rRNA from 1 species
AGGAGAGAAUCCUAAGGCCGACGGAAGAAGCAUUGUUAAGGAAUUCGGCAAAAUGACCCCGUAACUUCGGGAGGAGGGGUGCCUGCGAGAGCAGGCCGCAGAGAAUAGGCUCAAGCAACUGUUUUAACAAAAACACAGGUCUAUGCGAAACCGAAAGGUGAAGUAUAUGGGCUGACGCCUGCCCGGUGCUGGAAGGUUAAGAGGAGAGGUUAGCGUAAGCGAAGCUUUGAAUUUAAGCCCCAGUAAACGGCGGCCGUAACAAUAACGGUCCUAAGGUAGCGAAAUUCCUUGUCGGGUAAGUUCCGACCCGCACGAAAGGCGUAAUGAUUUGAGCACUGUCUCGACAAUGCAUCCGGUGAAAUUGAAGUACCAGUGAAGAUGCUGGUUACCCGCGCCAGGACGGAAAGACCCCAUGGAGCUUUACUCCAGUUUGAUACUGGGAUUCGGUACUGCAUGUACAGGAUAGGUGGGAGACAAAGAAGGAUGGACGCCAGUCUGUCCGGAGUCGCUGUUGGGAUACCACCCCUGUAGUACUGGGUUUCUAACCAGUUGCCAUGAACUGGCAAUGGGACAAUGUCAGGCGGGGAGUUUGACUGGGGCGGUCGCCUCCGAAAGGGUAUCGGAGGCGCUCAAAGGUUCCCUCAGAAUGGUUGGAAACCAUUUGAAGAGUGCAAAGGCAGAAGGGAGCUUGACUGCGACACCGACGGGUGGAGCAGGUACGAAAGUAGGACUUAGUGAUCCGGUGGUAUAAAGUGGGAUUGCCAUCGCUCAACGGAUAAAAGCUACCCUGGGAUAACAGGCUUAUCACUCCCAAGAGUUCACAUCGACGGAGUGGUUUGGCACCUCGAUGUCGGCUCAUCGCAUCCUGGGGCUGUAGCAGGUCCCAAGGGUUGGGCUGUUCGCCCAUUAAAGCGGUACGCGAGCUGGGUUCAGAACGUCGUGAGACAGUUCGGUCCCUAUCCGGCGCGGGCGGAGGAUAUUUGAGAGGAGCUGUCCUUAGUACGAGAGGACCGGGAUGGACGGACCACUGGUGUAUCUGUUGUCGACCAACGGCAUGGCAGAGUAGCCAAGUCUGGAAGGGAUAAACGCUGAAGGCAUCUAAGCGUGAAGCCCCCCUCAAGAUGAGAUAUCCCUCCUUCGGGAGUAAGACCCCUUGAAGACUACAAGGUAGAUAGGGCAGAGGUGGAAGCAUGGCAACAUGUGGAGCUGACUGUUACUAAUAGGUCGAGGGCUC